UACGGAGGGUGCAAGCGUUAUCCGGAUUCACUGGGUUUAAAGGGUGCGUAGGUGGGCAGGUAAGUCAGUGGUGAAAUCUCCGGGCUUAACCCGGAAACUGCCAUUGAUACUAUCUGUCUUGAAUACCGUGGAGGUGAGCGGAAUAUGUCAUGUAGCGGUGAAAUGCUUAGAUAUGACAUAGGACACCAAUUGCGAAGGCAGCUCACUACACGAAUAUUGACACUGAGGCACGAAAGCGUGGGGAUCAAACAGG
rnacentral:rRNA from 1 species